GGUAAAACGUAGGAGGCAAGCGUUAUCCGGAUUUACUGGGCGUAAAGCGCAUGCAGGCGGUUUCUUAAGUCGGACGUGAAAGCUCCUGGCUCAACUAGGAGAGGUCGUUCGAAACUAGGGAACUGNAGGAUGGUAGAGGAGAGUGGAAUUCCCGGUGUAGUGGUGAAAUGCGUAGAUAUCGGGAGGAACACCAGUGGCGAAGGCGGCUCUCUGGGCCAUUCCUGACGCUAAGAUGCGAAAGCUAGGGGAGAGAACGGGAUUAGAAACCCCGGUAUUCCUAGCCGUAAACGAUGUCAACUAGGUGUAGGGGGUAUCCAACCCCUCUGUGCUGUAGCUAACGCGUUAAGUUGACCGCCUGGGGACUACGGCCGCAAGGCUAAAACUCAAAGGAAUUGACGGGGACCCGCACAAGCAGCGGAGCGUGUGGUUUAAUUCGAGGCUACGCGAAGAACCUUACCAGGGUUUGACAUAUCGGUGGUAGGAAAGUGAAAGCUGACCGACCCUUCGGGGAGCCGAUACAGGUGCUGCAUGGCUGUCGUCAGCUCGUGCCGUGAGGUGUUAGGUUAAGUCCUGUAACGAGCGCAACCCUCGUCGCUAGUUAUACGUGUCUAGCGAGACUGCCGGUGAUAAGCCGGAGGAAGGUGAGGAUGACGUCAAGUCAGCAUGGCCUUUAUAUCCUGGGCUACACACACGCUACAAUGGCCGGUACAAUGGGUUGCUAAGCCGCGAGGCGGAGCCAAUCCCCCAAAGCCGGUCUCAGUUCGGAUUGUAGGCUGCAACUCGCCUGCAUGAAGUCGGAGUUGCUAGUAACCGCACGUCAGCACAGUGCGGUGAAUACGUUCCCGGGUCUUGUACACACCGCCCGUCACGUCAUGGAAGUUGGCAACGCCUGAAGUCGGUGGGCUAACCCUAACGGGAGGCAGCCGC
rnacentral:rRNA from 1 species